GGUGACACCUUCUCACACUACAGCAGGACAACUCCAUGAAUUGAGACCAGGCGUUUACCAGCAGGUUCCUGAGCCGCUUUCCUGCUUUUAUGUGAACUCUCAGAUUGCUGCUCCAGUUGCUGUGCCUGCUUGCUGCCACCCUUUCCACUGUGAUGAUGAAGGACUCUCCAUCUGUAGACCAGGAUGGCCUUGACCUGUCAGAGAUACUCCUGCUUCUGCCUCUCAAGGGCUGGGCUUAAAGGCAUGUGCCACCACUGCCUGACUAGAUGGUGAAGGACUUUCUAACCAUAAGCACAAAUAAACCCUUCCUUCCAUAAA